CCCGGCACGACGCGCGGCGCGGCGCCGGCGCCGGUGGCGUCGCCGCGGCCGCCCCGCUUGGAGAAGCCGCAUGGUAGUCGCUGCGCCGUGCUCAUCUGAUGCCUGGACGACAAGGAGCAGCCUGCCAACAUCCCUGAGACAGGCGUCACCAGCGGAUGCAGCAGCGCAAUGCAACCCCUCCUCCUCUGAACUCUGCUCUUCUUCCUCCUCUGCUCUGCUGAUCACACUCUCAAGUCUCUCUCCGGUAUGUGUGUGGGUGUGGCUACAGCUCGAGCUUCAGUGAGGUGUGGUCUAUGAAUGAAUGAAUGAAUGAAUGAAUGAACGGAUGGAUGGAUGAAGGGAUGGAUGAAUGUGGGGAUUGAAGGUGGUCUUGGAAAGAAUUUUUCAGUCCAAAGAAAAAAAAUGGGAGAAAAGAAAAGAAAAGAAAAGAAACUGAAGAAAGAAUGUAAUAUGUUUGUGUAUCUGCUGUAUAUGCAGGAAAUAAUUUUUGGACUCUGCAGAAAUGCUGCUUAGUACAAAAGAAUCAACGAAUCGUCAGGGAGAAAAGAAGAAAGAAUGGCCUAUAACAUCUACGAAGGAAGAAGAAGAAGAAGAAGAAGGUCAAUCAGAUCAGAAGCUGCCGGGCACUCUCUGCAGAGCCUCCUCGCCGGCGGCGAGCCCCAACGCCUCCAUUAAUUUUUCUUCUCCAAGAAAGAUAGAAAAAGCAGAGAAGAAAUCCUACAAGAAAAAAAAUCUAGGAUGGAUGGAUGCGAUGCAGAUGGGGGUUGGAUGGAUGAUCCUAUCUCCUACUGGGAUUUGGCGGGUGGGUGGGUGGAUGGGUUCUUCUCGCUCACUCCUCUAUCCUAUCACACUGUUCUUACCUCCUCGCCAUGGACGAUCCUCUCUGCUCUCACUACCCUAUCCCUCUCACUCACUCUCUCUGGCUGUGGCUGUCUCACACUCUCCCUUGUGAUGAUCUCACCUAUGGGGGAAGAAGAAGCCCGGGGAAAAGGAGGAAACGGCCUCGGCAGCGGGCGCUGUGGGCGGGAACCCCGAGGCAGCGAGCUGAGCCGUCGGAUCGACCACGGACGGCGCAGGGGAUCUGACCGUUGCCUCGCGUCCGGUCAAUGUGACCGUUGCGCGCGCGGGCCCGGGAUGUCAGCCGGCGAGGCGGGUGCGGCUCACGUGACCUGGCCCGUCCGUUUCCUACCGUUGGGGCGCCCACCACCACCACGGCGUGCGCACGGGCGGGGCGUGGGGUGUGGCUGCCGCGUGGGCCCCGCGUCGGGCACGGACGGCCGGGAUCGCGUGGAUCGCACGCCACGCGGGAUAGGUUGACGGGGUCGCCGCGUCCUGCCACGUCGGACGCACGGACCGCACGCGUGCACGCGUGCGUGGCUUACCUUGAAUGCUUUCUGGUGGUCGGAGGAACGACGUCGUCGGCGGAAAUUGACAAAAUACGCAAAUGGCUAAUAUGCUAGGAAAGCAGUGAUGGUCAAUUACAGCUGUGCCACCUUCUUAGCCGUGACGGGUGUCAGAUCCGUAAUUUAAUUCACCUACAAGAGUUUUAUUUUUUGAUGAGUCACUUUAAAGAUCCGUAAAGCCGUGGUAAUGAUGUCGGAGAUAGAUGAUGAACGAAUGUUGGUGUCAAGCUUAUAGACGUUGUGUGGUCUUUCUCAUUUUAUCAUGUUUGUUUUUACGUUACUUUUAGUUUGAUCUUUUAUAACAAGAUACGUAUUAUCGUUAUCCUGUACAAAAAUAUGCAGUAGGAUGGGUGAUUGCACGGUAACAACAACGACGCUGGGUGCUCGCGCUUGGAUAUACGGAUGGUGUGUGUGUGUGUGUAGCCAUGAUCGCUAUCCUAGAGCGGUAGUAAGAAAUUACUACUACCGCUCCGGGGGCGGUACUACCGCUGGAUACUGAAUCUGCUCUAAUUUUCGCAUACGGACUCCGAUUUCAACGGAAUCAAGUUUGUUGAAAAGCUAAUGACAUUGGCUAACACAAUAUUUAUAGAAAUAUCAAUAAGAAGCAAGUGAGAAAAGGCCCAUAAGAAAAUGGUGAGAACCCUUCUUCGAAUAAGACCGGUAAAAACUCCCAACAUCGAAAACAUCAUAGAAGAUGCAUAUGGACUCCGUUUUCGAUGAACUCGAGCUUGUCAUGAAGAUGACCAUAAGCUCUAAAAAUCACAAAGAGAAACACCAAACAAGAACCAAGAAGUAUGAUGCAAGGAUGCAAAUGGUUUGUGAUCUCAACAAACGAUACGAUCAAGCUACUCACUUGAGAGCCCCCCCUGACAGUACAACAAUCUAUCCUAAUACAGAAAACCUAUCAAGGGCAAACCUAUACCUUGCACCUCGUCCUCUUGAGCUAGAUGAUGAUGAUCUUGGCUUCCUCAAGAUGGACCACCUUUCUUGAUUGUGUUGGCUUGAUGAAGACUAGUUGAUUGCUCCCCCAUACUCACUAUGGGUGAGCCACUCUUCAGCAUAUCUUCACAAGUCCAUUGCCACCACAAUGGACGACAAGCUUCAAGCAUGAUAUAUUUGUGUUGAUCCACUUGAACUUGCACACCGCAAUCUUGAUGACGAUCACCACUUGACGUCAUCCUUCAUGGGUUGUAUGAGAUCUUCCUUUUGACGCAAGCCCAUGGAAACACACCUAACCCCCACAUAGAACUCUCACGAAGACCACGGGUUAGUACACAAACACGUAAUGGACAAUGCUUACCAUACCAUGGGAUCACUUGAUCCCUCUCGGUACAUCUUGUACGCUUUGUGUGUUGAUCAUCUUGAUUUCCUCUUUGUCUGACGAUCUUGAUCAACCUUGUGUCUCUAUGACCAUUUUUUGGAUAAUACCUUGAAUAUCAUCUUGAUCAUCAUAUAAACUCCUUGAACCCAACAGAUGGACUUCAAGCAGUGUCUAUGGACAAAUCCUAUAAAUAUAACUUAAGGCAACCAUUAGUCCAUAGUAAUUGUCAUUAAUUACCAAAACCACAUAUGGAGAGAUAUGCUCUAACAAUGGGUUCAAUCCAUUUGGUAUGACUAACGCCACAUAUAGUUGUUGGCCUGUGUUUGUUAUUCCGAUGAAUCUCCCCCCCGGGGGGGGGGGCUUCUGCAUGAAACGACAAUACAUGUUUCUGCCGCUGGUAAUUCCAGGUCCCGAAUAUCCAGGGAAGAAGAUGAGUUUGUACUUGGAGCUGCUUGUGGAUGACUUGAUGGUCGCUUGGGAUAAAGGGAUACGGACAUACAACGCCCUAACAAAGAAGCACUUUGAUAUGUAUGUUUGGUACUUCACAUCCGUGCAUGACCUAUCAACACGUGCAACUUUUUGCGGCUGGUGCGUACAUGGGAAGUGGCCUUGCCCGGUGUGUAUUCAGAAUCUAAUGUUCUAUUGGCUGAAGAAAGGUGGGAAGUAUACCUGCUUUGACAAGCAUCGCCAGUUCCUUCAUCCUGAUCAUCCAUUCAGAGAAGACAAAAAAAACUUCAAGAAAGGUAAAGUUAUUGAUGCUCCACCACCACUUGUGAUGACCGGUCACAUGAUCAAGGCUCAAUUAGAUGGUCUCCAGCCCAAUGCCAAUGGGUCAGGUUUUGUGGGAUAUGGAGACAUAACUGGACUCACAUACCAUGCCUAUGGAGGCUCCCUUACUUUGUUGAUCUCCUCCUCCCACAUAACAUUGAUGUAAUGCACACUGAGAAGAAUACCGCCGAGGCCCUUUUCGGCACAAUCUUCGACACUGAGAAGACGAAGGACAACGUGAAGGCCAUACUUGAUCAAGAGAAACUUUGUGAUAGGCCGAAUUUAAAAAUGGUCGAACCCGGACCCAGAAGAAAAGGGUGACGGAAGCCUCCAACCCCGUUCUGCCCUGUAAGGAAGGAUAGGAAGGUAAUGAUGAAGUGGGUCUUGGAUAAAUUGCGGUUCCCUGAUGGGUACGCAGGAAAUAAAUGAAGGGAGUGAAUAUGAAUACGUUGCGAAUAGGGGGUCUCAAGAGCCAUGAUUAUCACGUUUGGCUUGAACGGGUGAUGUCGGUGAUGAUUCGAGGCUUUGUCUCCGAGGAGAUUUGGCGAGUACUGGCGCAGUUGAGCUAUUUCUUCCGACAGCUUUGUGCUAAAGAGUUAGACCCAAAAGUCGUUGACAAGCUAGAGAAACAGGCACCAGAGUUGGUGUGCAAGCUAGAGAAGAUCUUUCCACCAAGCUUCUUUAAUCCGAUGCAACAUAUGAUCUUUCCACCAAGCUUUUUUAAUCCGAUGCGACAUAUGACGUGUUUCGCGCACUCGGUUUAUAAGUUUUUUCCUCUAGAGAUAGAUUCAUUAUGAACAUUCAUUAUUAGCAGAUGAUCAAACAAGAGAGUUAAUGUCUUUGGGAUAUAAUAGAGCUUUUAUGCUUGUUUUUUUAAAAGGGCAGUGUUAUGCAUCCCGCCGGAUAAUCUAAAAAGAUAUUUGUAAAGUACAUACAGAUCUAAAUGUCACAAACCCGUUGACUAAACCUCUUCCACGAGCAAAACAUGAUCAACACCAGAACUCUAUGGGUGUUCGAUUCAUCACAAUGUAACUAGAUUACUGACUCUAGUGCAAGUGGAAGACUGUUUGAAAUAUGCCCUAGAGGCAAUAAUAAAGUGGUUAUUAUUAUAUUUCCUUGUUCAUGAUAAUUGUCUAUUAUUCAUGCUAUAAUUGUAUUAACCGGAAACCGUAAUACAUGUGUGAAUAUAUAGAUCACAAUGUGUCCCUAGUGAGCCUCUAGUUGGCUAGCUCGUUGAUCAAUAGAUGAUCAUGGUUUUCCUGAUCAUGGACAUUGGAUGUCAUUGGUAAAGGAAUCACAUCAUUAGAAGAAUGAUGUGAUGGACAAUACCCAAUCCUAAGCAUAGCACUAGAUCGUGUUGUUCGUCUGCUAAAUCUUUUCUAAAUGUCAAGUAUCAUUUCCUUAAACCAUGAGAUUGUGCAACUCCCGGAUACCGUAGGAGUGCUUUGGGUGUAUCAAACGUCAUAACAUAACUGAAUGAUUAUAAAGGUGCACUACAGGUAUCUCUGAAAGUGUGUGUUAGGUUGGUACGAAUCGAGACUGGGAUUUGUCACUCCUUGUGAUGGAGAGGUAUCUCUGGGCCCACUCGGUAAUGCAUCAUCAUCCUGAGCUCAAUGUGACUAAGGAGUUAGCCACGGGAUGAUGUGUUACGAAACGAGUAAAGCGACUUGCCGGUAACGAGAUUGAACAAGGUAUAUGGAUACCGAUGAUCGAAUCUCGGGCAAGUAUCGUACCGGUAGACAAAGGGAAUUGCAUACGGGAUUGAUUGAAUCCCCGACAUCGUGGUUUAUCCGAUGAGAUCAUCCUGGAACAUGUGGGAACCAACAUGGAUAUCCAGACCCCGAUGUUGGUUAUUGAUCGAAGAGUUGUCUCGGUCAUGUCUGAUGGUUCCCGAACCCGUAGGGUCUACACACUUAAGGUUCGAUGACGCUAGGGUUGUUAUGGGAAUAGUAUACAUGGUUAACGAAGGUUGUUCGGAGUCCCGGAUGAGAUCCCGGACGUCACGAGGAGCUUUGGAAUGGUCCGGAGGUAAAGAUUUUCGGGGGUCCAUCGGGAAAGGCCACCACCUCCGAAAUGCUAUAUGGGCCAAGAAUGGAAGGGAACCAACCCCUAGGUGGGCUGGUGCACCUCCCAUCCCAGCCCAAGGCGCAGAAGAGGGGGAAGGAGGGCCAACCCUAGGCAUGGGGGCUGCCUUGGGUGGCAAGCCACCCUAGGGCGUCGCCUCCUCCUCCACUUCGGCCAUCGCCCCUCCCAUCUAGGAUUGUCGCACCCCCUAGAGUGGGAACCCUAGGGGUGCACACCCUCCUCCCUCUCCUCCUAUAUAAACCCAAGGGUUUGGGGCUGUUGGACACACAAGUUUCACCUCUCCACGGCGCAACCCUACCUCUCCUCCUCCAAGUCCUCCGUAGCGCUUGGCGAAGCCCUGCCGGAGUACCACGCAGCUCCACCGUCACCAUGCCGUCGUGCUGCCAGAGCUCCCCCUCAACCUCUCCUCUCUCCUUGCUCGAUCAAGCCGUAGGAGACGUCACAGGGUUGCACGUGUGUUGAACGCGGAGGCACCGUUGUUCGGUGCUUAGAUCGGAAUCUUCCACGAUCUGAAUCGCUACGAGUACGACUCGAUCAACCGCGUUCUAGCAACGCUUCCGCUUAGAGAUCUUCAAAGGUAUGAAGACGCGCCACUCCUUUGCUCGUUGCUGGUUUCUCCUAGAUAGAUCCUUGUGUGGCAUAGGAUUUUUUUUGAAAUUACUACGUUAUCCAACAGUGACAUCCGAGCCAGGUUCUAUGCGUAGAUUCUAUGCAUGAGUACAAAACAAAAGUUGUGGGCCAUGAUUUUGUCUAUUGCUUGUCGUUGCUAGUCUUAUCUUUUUUUGGCGGUAUUGUGGGAUGAAGCGGCCCAGACCGACAUUACACUUACUCUUACGUGAGAAUGGUUCCACCGCCUGACAUGCACUUGGUGCAUAAGGUGGCUAUCGGGUUGGACUUACCCUUACGUACGCUUACGUGAGACUGGUUCCACCGCCUGACAUGCAUUUACGCUUACAUGAGACUUGGUUCCACCGCCUGCUUCUCCAUCGCCUGCCGCAACCAUAGCCCGCCGUGGUACCCGAGCGAGCUGGCCACCCACCAACACAAGCGUGGCACGCCUCCCAGGCGACUUGGGCCCCGCCCGUGGCUUGGCUCCACGAGGGCUGCGGUGUGGCGCGGCUCCCCGACAUCUUCGCUCCACCAAUGCUUCCCCUGCAGGGCGCCUUCGGCAUGGGGUGGGGCGUCGUGCCCGUGAGCAGAGCCUGCUCUGGUUCGUGAACCUACUGGCCGAACCGUCGCUGUAGUAGACCUGUAGCUUGCAGGGGAUCUCCCGAGGGUGCUCGAGCCGAAGGACGACACGCAAGGCGGAGAGGUCAGGUGCCUCGACACCAAACACGUUUUUUUUUAUUUCUGAGAGGCACAUCUGUACCUCUCGCGAAAGCAAAAUCAUGCCUCUCGUGAAAGCAGAACCGCGCCCUUCGCGUAAAAAAACCAGAAAACACAUUUUUUCGUUAAGAAAAUUGAUUUUUUUGUCGAAAAGCUAAGAAAUGGCGUGCCUCUCGCGGAAGCAAAACCAUGCUUCUCCCGAAAAAAACAAAAAACACGUUUUUUCCAAAAAAAAGUGAUUUUUUAUAAAAAGCUAAGAAAUACCGUGCCUCUUGCGAAAGAAAAAUUAUGUCUUUCGCAUAAGCAAAACCGCGUCCCUCGUGAAAAAACAGAAACAUGUUUUUUUUUAAAAAUGAUUUUGUUUAUAAAAAGCUAAGAAAGACCAAUGAAAUUCCGAAACACCAAAAACCCCAGAAAAAAUUAAUCUAAAAGCUGAAAAUGCGUGUGAAAAAAUAAAAAAAUAAAAUUCAAAGGGAACGUUUAGAACGCGACACACUUUGAUGCUACUGGAGCGGCCUGCUACGGUAGAUCUUUGAUUGGCCUUGGCCGGCCCACCGGCCUACUCGGCGACGCCCCCGUGCGAAAGUUCUGAUAGAGGAGCUCUCCGCCGUCCCUCACCGCAAUCCACAAACCCCACCGCACAACCGGACCGCCGCCGCCAGCCCGCGGCCGAUCUCCUCCUCCUCAAAGCGCAGGCCGCCUCGAUCCUCGUCCUCCUCCACGCGCAGGUGGCCGCCGCCAACCUCUGACGCGUGGGUGCUCGCCGCCCAUCCUCGAGUCGACCUCCGUCCCCGAGGCCAAGGUCUCCGUCCGCCUCUCCCCGCGUGCUCGGCGAGCUGAAGGCGGCCGACCUACUCCUCCCCCCGCGAGCUGCAACCCUGUAUCUGUACGUAUCGUUUAAUCUCUAUUACCCACACCGUCUCUUCAUUUUCUUAUGUGCCACUUCUGUCGCGUGCAUGCCAGGUGUUCGGCAAAAUGCCUAUGCGUACCAGUACUAGUGUAGUACCGCCUGCUCUAGUUUAGCUCCUGCAUGCAUACCGUUGUGCACGUCAUGCAUAGGACCGAUUCUAUAGGAUCCAUACCGACCGGCAUGGCAGCCUGGUACGUAGUAGGGGAUUAGUUGAGUCUCGAGCUGUCUCUCCUCUGUUUGUAUGUAAACUGCACAGUGCUAACUGAAUAUAGCUAGUGUGUUACAUCGCAUCUUCUUUUCCCUCUCUACAUGGUAUUAAUUAGUCGCCCUAGGAUUCUCUGCCUUGGCGGAGAUGGAUGGAGGAGGUGUGGGAGUUCAUGGUGGCUUGAGCGGAAGCGAUAGGCAGAGAAUCAUGUGGCAACUGAUACCAUAUAGCUAGUGAGGGAGAAGAACUUGCGAUGCAACGCACAUAUAUCCAGUUCGUCUUCUGCAGUUUUUUUUAGGGAAAAGUUCGUGUUCUGCAGUUUAUAUACACAUGAGAGGCAGCUCGGGACUCAACUAAUCUCAUACUAUCUAGCCACUAUGCAGAGGAUAGAGUAGUCGAGGCUGCCAAGGCCAGCCGGUAUGGAUCCUACAGAAUCGGUCCUAUACAUGACCUGUAUAACAGUAUGCAUACACGGUACGCAGGAGCUACGCUUCAAUAUAUGUGUGUUGCAUCACAAGUUCCUUUCCCUCUCUACAUCACUAAAUAGUGUAUUACCACCAAAUAGCAUAGCAUGAUUUCAUUCACAGAUAUAUGAUUAGAGUAUCUUGCAAGAAAUAAAUUCUAGACACAUGUGCUUAUUACGACAUUGUCGUGCCGCUAGUAAUAUAUUCUCUAUUUAGAGUUUUUCAUCUUAUUUGCACCUUCUAAGUGGAUUUAUUUUAUUUGGCCAUUCAGGAAUUCUUAGAUGUGGGGAAAUGUUAGUACAAUAUGCAAUAGCUUGUGUUGAAGUAGAUACCCAGAUUUGUGUAGCUAAUCAACUCUUUGUGUACCAGAAAAUUUUCUACAUGGGGAAGCAGCCGGGAAACACUGGCCCUUCCUCGGCAUCCAGGUCGGCGAACCAGGCCGUGUCGCUCCGCGAGGAGACCUCCGGGAAGGCGCAGGUUGACGUGCCCUCCCUCCUGAGGGUCCAGCAUCUGCAGCGGCUGGGGGCGUGGGCGAGCGGGGAGGCAGGAGUUGGCUCGAUCGGGGCACUGCUGGGCUACCGCCUCGCCACGAACGCCGAGGCUGCCGCGAUCCCCAUAGGCGCCUCCACCUUUGUUUGCCAGAGGUAAGAGUUACAGCUUAAUGUUUCGUCUUAAAAUGCUCCAUUCAUGUGUUUAAUUGUUUGACCAUAUCAAUCUGACUAUUAUCUUCAGCAUUUAAAUUUCUGUUAUAAUUUAUUCGUGUUCAACUUAUGAGCAAUUACAUUGUUUUCGGACAAAUGCUUGUCCGAACAAAGUAGCAUGUCUGCAUCUUGUGAUGUGGCAAACUGAGACUUCGAGAAACAAACACAUUGUAUGAGCUUUCCAACAGGCAAUACAGUAUUUAUUUUUUCUCUGUUAGAUGGACUGUUAGCCCGUUGCUGAUAAUCUUUGAUUGGAGAAAUGGGAAAGUUUUAGGUUUAUUAACGGAGUUUUUUCCUUUGGUUCACAUAGGCAAAACUGUAACAGAGUUACUGAGUGAAUGAAAUUUAUCUAAAUUUUGUUUUCACUUUUUACAUGGAAAGGCUCAUUGUAAAUAUCUAAAAGAAACUUCUGCCCAAUGAUUAAGAGUCGAGUGACAGUGUACCAGUCCUACGUUAGGUGUUGACUGAGCACAUUGACUGGAUUGGUUGGCACAGUCAAUUGGCUGGUUGACUAGUCGCUGACUAAUUGUGACAAGUUGAUCCCCUUUGUUCGAGUGGCUCAAAAUCCUAGUCCCUGCCUGCGCAGCCUCCAGAUCGAGUCGUCUCCUGGGCGUUGCAAAGCCUAGCCUUGCCAGGCCACUGCCACAGUGACUGGGGGCCUCAACACCGGCCGUUUUUGCCACCCUCAUGAGUGAUAUUCUCAUACGCCCUCCUGUCUCCGUUGCUAUGUAUUCAUCCUCUCCUCUCCUUGCUGAACUCCUGGUUUGUGCUUUCGUCUGUUCCUUCCAAUACUCUGUCAUGCUGAAUUAUUUGUUCGAUCUAUGAUUUCCUCACUUCCUUCCAUAUCGUACUAGCAGUAUAUCAUAGGCAGAGGUAGCAGGUGGAGAUAGAGCCAUAAGUUGCUGCCAGCUGGAGCUGUUUAGAAGCAUGGUCCCUCCAUCCUGAGAUCCUAAGAGGAAGCCAACUAAGCAAAGGACUCCAGUAUCAGUUAUACACAUACAGUUGACUUGUCGAAAUCGGUCUACACAUGAACUAUUGUGUUAACUAUGCUGUACAAUCAUCUUGCUGGAUCCAUAUUUGCUUGCACAUGCAAUUACGUUUCUCAAGUUUCUCAGUGCAAUAUAUCAGUUCAAGCACUUAUUGGAUUUCUGCUAAACUCAUGAUAGUCACAAAAACAGUUUUUGUUGACUUACAUUGAUUUAGUGGCACCACUUUAUCGCAGUGAUUUAUGUUCUGUUUUCAGCACCCACUGUUGCUGGGAUACUGUCUCCUAUCGAUUUGCAAAACAGGUUUUAUUCAAUGACAGCAAUCUGUCAGAUAUAGAUAAUUGUUAGAUGGGUGGUCGUAAGGCCAAAAAAAUGAUCUAACAUACAAAAUUUAAGUGAAACAUCUUGUGUUCAAAACAAUGAACUACGCAAAAGCAAGACAAAAGAUGGGAAGGUUAUUGGUCGUCCAUUUUGCAUGUUACAUCGGUUCUUUACUGGAAUGCAUGUUAGCUGAUUGUUCUGGAUCCAUGUAUUGUCAAAAUGUGAGCUUACUAGCAUAGAAGAACUGGAAAUAAAAAAACUGUGUUGAUAAUGUUGUAUGAGUAUUCCGGCUUAGAGCAAAUUACCACAGAGCUUCUCUGCCUUGCUUAACCUUUAUAUCAGAUCUCUUAUAUGUAUGUAUGUAUGUGUGUAUCAAUUGAUUUUUAAUACGUCUUACAGUCUGUAGUAAUACUGAUAAAAACUUUUGGGUCGGAGGAAUAUUUGGAAGUGUUUAGAUCACCGCAUGACAUUCAGUAUCCUUUCAUUUAGCCACUUUGCGAAAAGGUCCUUUGGGAUAUAUUAACGCACAACACUAACACUAACUGUGUAAAGAACAUCUCGAAUCUGCAGUAUGUUUAUCAGCGGCCAGGUUGAAGGGUCUAUGAUAUUCUUGUACGUAUAUGGAUUAUGUACGUGGUCGAUGCAGUUUGUUUGUUAUGCUGUUUGUCCAUAUCAAUAAGCCUUAUAUGUACCUCUGACAAAAGAUUAUUCGAAUAUUGCAGGUGUGAAUCAAUCUUACAGCCAGGCUUUAACUGCACAAUCCGCAUAAAGAACAACAAAAAGAAAGCAAAGCGGCGCAAGAAGUCAAAUCCGGGCCAAAAUAGUGUUGUCUAUGCAUGCCAUUUCUGUGGAGACCAAAACCUGAUACGGGGUAGUGGAAAGGGUUUCGUGAAGGGUCUGCUGUCAUCAAGAAAGCCUGUUAGCGUAAUGUUGAAAGGAGACAAUAUUAGCGUUCCAACAGUAACUGCUAAAAAUGCGACUGAGCAUUCUGUAACAGCAGGCUCACAACUGGAACCAUCCAGGUUGAAAACAUCUACUCUUGAAAAAGAUAAACGAGGUAAUGGGCCAAAAUCUUAUCUUCCCGAAGAUUCUAAAAUGGAGAAAGGGGCAGCCUUUUCAAUGGUUGAUCGUGGUCAGUUAGCAGAUGCACACGAAGAGACCCCACAAAAAAUUGAAGUAGAAAGCACACAUGAUAAGCGUAUGACUAGACUUGUGCCCGUGUCUUCUAAAAACAUUACAAUAUGUGAAUCCGAUGUCACUUCUCAAGCAGAAUUUCUACUUGGGUCAAACUUCGUUACUCCUCGGAAGAGCAAACUGGUUGAAGUGACUGUGCCUAUAGCUUCAGCAGAAGCAUUGGAGACUGGAAGUACACUGAGCAGCAAAGGGCAGAGUUGUGGUUCCGCUGCUGGCAAGAUCCCUGGAAGUUAUAGCAAGUCAGCUUCGAAUAGCAAAUCUGUGCCAGGUGAUUCUACUCAGGCAGCUGGCAGUUCAAGAAAGCGGGCAAGAAAAGGGUGGACUACGCUGAAGCAGAUCGCUGAGAAGGACGAGCUUGAGAGAAAACAGAAGAUGGAUAACUUUGUAAUCCCGUUCUUCAUGCAGUAGAAUAUAUUUUACUUUUGGCAUCUGUUGUAGACGUUGGGCUGGAAGAACAGUUGCAGGUUUUAGUGAUACUUUUUAGUUAUGUACUUCUGCACCAAUCAUGUUGUAGAAAUAUAAAGUUGGGAAGGAGUUCAAAAUUAAACCUAAGGCAGAUAUGCUAGCAGUCAUAGGAAUGAAAGUUAAGGCUUGAAUAUUCACCAGUGCGGGUGCGCUUGGCUCGAGCUGCCAAGCUGUGGAAGGUAAAGUCCAAUAUUCUGUUCGGUUCUUGGCUGAAGGGUGGGUUAACAAUCCAGAGUUUGUUCUCUGUAUAAAGUUUUUCCGUUGCUAAUUGAGUAUUUUAUUAUUUGUGUCAGAUACCAUCGCUGGGACCAUGCUAUGGACUAGAGCAGGGACGGAGCCAGGAUUCUCGCAAGUUUCCAAUUAUGGGGGCAAGAUUUUGCCUCUACUGUGAGGAGAGACUAACACAAAUCAUGCAGAGAUUCUAACCGAGUUUUUUUUCCUUUGUGACAAUAGCCUACGUUGAUAAACUAAAUCUUAAUCAAGCCAAGAAAAUUGAUGUCGGCUAUGAACAAUUUAAUCUUGAUUUGUCAGAAGUUUUCAUGAAGCAACUGUGUAAAGCAAAUCAUAUUUAGGAACUAAAUUUUAUUACUACACUAGGGGAUAAACAAUGCAAAAUCUUGUCUCAUGGGCCAUGAAUAGUCCCUAAUUAAUUUCAUGUAGUUUCUACCGAUCAAAUCAUGUGUGCAAUUCUAAAGGGACAUAGUAGUCUAAUUCUAUGGAUUGAGUAACGAGGAUAAAAGACUGAAUUGUAACCUAACCGUUUUCCUUGCCUCAUUGCCGGCGUUGGUGGCUAUCAGGCUAUUAGAUUGAAAAAUUGUAGAUCGCCCUAGCAAUUCUGCACUUUUAGAUUGAAAAGCUGCACAUCUCUAUGAAUCAAGAACAGACCUAUAAAAGCUACACAUCCAUGAAUCAAGAACUGACCUAGCCCCCCCCCCNNNNNNNNNNNNNNNNNNNNNNNNNNNNNNNNNNNNNNNNNNNNNNNNNNNNNNNNNNNNNNNNNNNNNNNNNNNNNNNNNNNNNNNNNNNNNNNNNNNNNNNNNNNNNNNNNNNNNNNNNNNNNNNNNNNNNNNNNNNNNNNNNCACAUCUAUAUGAAUCAAGAACAGACCUAUUGAAAGCUACACAACCAUGAAUCAAGAACUAACCUAGCCCCCCCAACAGCAGGAGGCGGCAGGCCAGCAGGGAAACGCUGAUCGUAUAGUCUAAUCUACUCCUAGCAGUCAUCAAACGCUGAAACGCAGUGACCACCCGACUUACGAGUACGAUCGUGAGGCAUAGAUCGUGAAAGACCUAUGCGAACGUGGAUCCAUGACCUAGCCCCUUUGUCUUCCUGGACUUUCUUUUUCUUUUAGGCCUCGCCUAUGAUCUUCCGUACAUGGGCUACAGGGGCUGGGCACAGGAGGGCUUCUAGUAACGUUACAUAGAGGGAAAGGGGGGGGGGGGGGNNNNNNNNNNNNNNNNNNNNNNNNNNNNNNNNNNNNNNNNNNNNNNNNNNNNNNNNNNNNNNNNNNNNNNNNNNNNNNNNNNNNNNNNNNNNNNNNNNNNNNNNNNNNNNNNNNNNNNNNNNNNNNNNNNNNNNNNNAAUCCAACCCUCUCGUGUAGGGUUUAUCGUAUCUCGCGACGGCGACCCCGCCGAAGCCUAGAGUUCUCGUCUACCAGCCGGUCAACCCUCGAGCUCUCGUCGCCCCGUUCCUUCUAGGCUACGGGCGCGCUAGGGCAUUAGGGUUUUGCCGGAUCGUUCCCUUCAUCUGAUCAAGACUAGCGCCGCUGGAUCCCAACCCUAGAUGGCGAAUAAGGAAGCGUCGUCGUCGGCGAGCUUGGCAGGGAGGUACCUUGAGGAGAUGCUGCAACACUUGGAUCUGCAAGAGGAUGAGCUGGAUGAUGUAGUGGUUGGCGAAGAAGAAGUGAAUUUUUUUUGAAGCGGAUGCGAGAUGGCUGGCGAUAGGUAGGGUUAACACGUCACGGUCGUUCAGUUCGUCAGCAAUGUUUGAGACUCUUAAAUCAAUCUGGAGGCUGGCCAAUGUUCCAUCGUAUCGGUAGGCUGGUGAAAACUUAUUCAUCUUUCAGAUGUUUUGUUUAGGAGAUUGGAAGAAUGUGGUGCAUGGUGGCCCUUGGUUGUUCCGAGGUAUGGGGAUGCUCACUGAGGAUUAUGAUGGCAAGAAAGAACCCGCAUCUGUUGCUUUCGACGACCUCUACGUCUGGGCUCAAAUCCAUAACAUCUGAGAGCUUUACCACAAGGCAGAAGUGGUGGAUCAACUCACUAGGCGUAUCGGGCGUGUGAAGGAGACCCAACUCAAUCCUCGGCUCUUCUUUGAAGGUGAGUACGUUAGGGUCCAUGCAAGGGUACUGGUGAACAAACCUUUCACGAGGGUGAUACAUACCCCUUAGUGUUGCUGGAGAGGGGAGGAAGCUACUCCCGGUGAAGUACGAGAAGAUUCCCUAUUUUUGUCAAGUCUGUGGCAUCAUGGGCCAUAACCAUGAGGAGUGCGGCGAUGGUGUUUGGGAGGAAGCGCACAAACAAUGGGGAAGCUGGAUGCUAGUACGGCGGAGGGAGACACCCCAAGAGCAACCAGAUGGCGAACGGGGCCCGCGCGGUGGCCGAUCUGGCGGCCAUGGUGGAGGCAGGGCGCGGAGGGGUGGCAUAGCACGCCAGUCGCCCCCCUCGCAAGCAAUCAUCACAAGAAGCUGGCCUAGAUGCCGAGGAGGAUGACGAGGUGACUAGCCCGCUGAAGCCGAUGGCUGAGACAAGUGUUGCACACGACGCCUCCGUGGCUCGCCGCAAUUUGGACGAAGUAUUGGCUGAUAGCGCCCCUGUUCAGAUGCUUUCGGAUGCUAUGGUGGUUCUGGAUGCUGGGGCGUCAAACAUGGUUUCGCCGGGGGCCACGAGCACUACCCUUGGUGCAGUUCCGCCGCCUCCCCCGGCGUAUAUCUCACCGCGGGACGUCAAGAAAGCCAGAAAGGAUGGCUCUCCCUCGAAACAGAGCAAAGUGAUGCUCGCAAAAUUGGCGGGCUCCAAGAAGGAGUGCCGCCAGGCCCAAUGAAAAUACUAAGCUGGAAUUGUCGUGGGAUGGGCGAUCCCACGACAGUCCGAGAACUCCGCGACCUUGUGGAGAUCAGUUCGCCUACUAUUAUAUGCUUGGUAGAAACUCAGUUACAGAAGAGCCGCACUUAAGGCCUUCGGUUCUCGUUAGAUUUUGAUUUUAGCUUUGGUGUUAGCAGUAGUGGUCGUAGCGGUGGAAUUUGUAUUUUCUGGAAAAAUGCCAUUGGCGUUACAAUAAAGAAUUAUUCUGAGUAUCGUGUUGAUGCAUGGAUCACGGUUCCAGGCCAGGAUCAAUGACGGAUGACGUGUUUCUAUGGAGAAGCCACUAGGAGCCUUCGUCACAAGACCUAGGAAACUAUGAAACGUCUGAGGGGCAUGAGCACUCUUCCGUGGAUCUGCAUAGGGGACUUCAAUAAGAUUCUGAGGCCAAAAGAACAACAUGGACCAAAUGAACGUGAUAGUACGCAGAUUGAAGCCUUUAGGGAAGUGGUGGAUGUCUGUGGUAUCGCUUAUUUGGGUUACCGAGGACUCAACUGGACCUGGGAAAAGAACGUUUCAGGGGGCCAUUUUUGUCGGGUGCGGCUAGAUAGAGCUAUGGCCUCCCCCUGUUGGUCUGCGCUCUUCCCUUUCGCUACGGUGGAGCACUUGAUAGCUGCCAAAUCGGACCACAACCCCAUUCUCCUUGAGACCGAGCUGGUGGACUCCAGCGCCCGAGCCAAGCAGAAGAAGCAAUUUCGCUAUGAAUGCACGUGGGAGCGAGAACCCAGCUUUGGGGAGGUAGUUGCCGAAGCUUGGCAGACGGCGGGGCGUGCCCAAUCUGUUUCGGCGCUGACACGGGAGCUUGCUAUGGUUGCUAGAAGGCUUCAAAGUUGGGGAUGGACCACUUUCGGUUCGGUUAGAACAGAGUUGCGGUCCCUUCGUCUUAGUUUGCAAACCAUGCGUUCUGCUCCUGAUCGUACUGGCCCAACGAGCGAGGAGGAGGCGAUUGAAGCAAGGAUGGUGGAGCUGUGCUUGCGGGAGGAGAUUAUGUGGCGGUAGAGUACUCGUAUCCAAUGGCUGGCGGAAGGAGACAUCAAUUCUAAAUUCUUUCACCACAAAGCAAGUGCGCGCAAAGCCCGUAAUCGUAUUACCGAGCUGCAAAGAGCUGAUGGUUCAGUCUGCAACGAGGAAGAGGAGAUGGCAAGCAUGGCGACUAACUUCUAUGUCAACUUAUAUACCUUGGAGAACACAUAUGGUAUGGAGGAGGUACUUUCUCAUAUACCGUCCCAACCUCAAUGCUCCCUUUACCAAAACUGAAGUUAAAACUGCACUUUUUCAAAUGUUCCCUACCAGAGCCCCUUGACCUGAUGGGUUCCCAACACACAUUUUUUUUCAACAACAUUGGGACCUUUGUGGUGAUGAGGUCAAUGAUAUGGUGCUUAGAGUUCUGAGUGGAGAAGAUUCACCGGAGGAGAUAAACAAGACUUUCAUUGUUCUAAUCCCAAAGAUUGCAAGACCAAAACACCUAGGACAGUUUCGACCGACCAGUCUCUGUAAUGUGAUCUUCAAGAUUGCAUCCAAGGUACUGGCUAACCGACUCAAACUUAUUCUCCCUGAGAUAAUCUCUGAGGAACAAUCAACAUUUGUACCAAGCCGUCUUAUCACCGACAAUUUUAUCUCUGCAUACGAGUACCUGCAUUAUAUGAAGACCAAGAAGGUGAAAAGGAAUCGGUAUUGUGCUCUCAAGCUAGAUAUGAUGAAGGCAUAUGAUAGACUUGAGUGGGUUUAUCUAGAGCAAGUCAUGCUUAAGCUGGGGAUCCGCCAUCAGUUUACGGAGACAGUUAUGAGGUGUGUCACCUCAGUUAUUUUUAAUGGAGGCAAGCAAGAGGAAUUUAGGCCUUCUCGGGGUCUUCGCUAGGGCGAUCCUAUUUACCCUUAUCUCUUCCUAUUGGCAGUUGAAGGUCUUUCAUGUAUGCUAAAAACCACGAGUGCUACUGACCGUAUCGAUGACAUAACGGUGGCUCCGAAUGCACCUCAGGUAAACCAUCUCCUGUUUGUUGAUGAUAGUCUCCUAUUCCUUAACACUAUACCGGAGAUGGCUGGCAGGGUGAACUCUCCCCUUCAGAGUUAUUGCGCUGCCUCGGGACAACGGGUGAACAAGGACAAGUCGUCCAUCUUCUUUAGCAAGGGGUGCUCCGAAGACCUUAGAGAGGAGAUCAAACAGGUUCUAGAUGUACACACUGAACAGCUCUCUGAUAAAUACUUGGGUUUGCCCUCUGAUGUCGGACGUGCAAAAGAGGGAUCUUUCAAAUUUUUAAAAGAUCAAAUCUGGAAGCAAGUCCAAGGAUGGAUGGAAAAAGCGCUAUCCGCGGGAGGGAAAAAGAUUCUCAUCAAGUCUGUUGCACAGGCCAUACCUACUUACUCCAUGGCGUGCUUCAAGCUUCCUAGGGGGCUUUGUUAGCAUAUCAAUGGGCUCGAGAGGAAGUUCUGGUGGGGCUCAAAGCAGGGGGAGAGGAAGACUGCUUGGGUUUCUUGGGAAAUCAUGUCACAACCUAAAUUCAUGGGGGGCAUGGGCUUCCGUGACAUUGAGCUGUUCAACCUUGCGCUGCUAGCCCGGCAAGCAUGUAGCCUACUCCAGGAGCCAGACUCUCUCAGUGCCCGAUACUGAAGGUAGUUUAUUUUCCCUCUACGUUCAUUCUCCUUGCAGAACUGGGCAAGCAUCCUUCACAGGUUUGGCGCUCGAUUGUAGAGGGACGAGAUAUACUGCGACUCGGUUUGAUAAAGCGGAUUGGGUCUAGGGUAGAUACUGAAAUAUGGCAUGAGAACUCGAUACCGAGGGAUUUUAAGCUCCGCCCGGUCUACCCCAAGUCUGAAAACCCUCCACUGAUGGUUGCUAAACUCAUUGACCCUGUCACACGAUCUUGGGACCGAACUUCUUUGGAGGUGAACUUCUAUCCGAUGGACAUGAAAGCAAUCUUAAAUUUCCCACUCAGUUCUAGCGUUCAGUGUGACUCCUGGGCAUGGCACUACGAGAAGAAGGGCACCUUCCUUGUUUGGUAUGCUUACCGGAUGCUGGCUUCCAUCAAACAACAACGCAAGGAUUGGCUCGAACACACUGGGGGCCAUUCCGAGACUGCAUCUGAUUGUCGCUCGUGGACACGUCUUUGGGGUGCUUUGGUUCCUUCUAAGGUCAAGGUGUUUUCCUGGAGGUUAACACGCACAUCGUCGAUCCCGACCGGCGAUGUGCGCAAGCAUAGGAGCAUGGCGGCCAUGGCAGAAUGCUCGCUAUGUCGCGCGACGGUCGAUACAUGGCGUCACGCCCUCUUCGACUGCCACAUGGCGCGCUGUGUGUGGGCCUUGGAGGAUGAGGAUCUUACCAAAACUAUUAUCUCGAACCGGACUGAAGAUGCGAAGCUCUGGAUGCUAUGGCUGGUGGACACGCUUCCCACGCCGGCCCUUGCCAGAGUCCUUGUGAUGAUGUGGGCCAUUUGGUGGGCGCGUCGGAAAGCAAUCUUCGACGAAAUAUUUCACAGCCCGUUAAGCUCACACUUGUUCAUCAACAAGUUCCUGGCUGAGCUGGAGAUGAUCCCCACACUUCUGAAUCAGGCGAAGGAGCGGCGGUUGUUGUCGAGGGGCGACCCUACUCGUGUGCAGCAACUGCCAAAGUGGUGUCCGCCGGUGGAGCAUGCAGCAAAGAUCAAUGCUGAUGGAGGCUUCUCCAAGAUUGGCGAUCGAGGGGCGUCAGCUGCGGUGUGUAGGAACAAGGAGGGGGAUAUCUCGGUGCCUCGGCGGUCAUCUACGAAGGGCUCCAGGACCCGACAGUUCUUGAGGCUCAGGCUUGUCUAGAGGCACUUGCGCUCGCAAAAGACCUCAACACCCAAUCCGUGUGCUUUGCAUCUGAUUGCUUGGAAGUUGUCUCUAAUAUCGAGAAGGAGGUCCCCUGUCGUUAUGUUGCCAUUCUCCAUGAUAUCAAGCAUCUGAGUAGUUCUCUUUAAGAUGUAAAAUUCAUUCAUGAAAAUAGGAAGUUUAAUGGUGAGGCCCAUGCACUAGGUAAAGCUGCUGCAUCCCUCCCUCCCGGGCGCCACUUGUGGCUCACUAGUUUGUCCGAUAUUAUCCGUAUCCCCAUGCGACCAUGCCUCUGAACUUAUAAUAAAGGAUACAGUUUCGUUAAAAAAAGAAGUCAAAUCCAAUCGCUCAUAACGUCGAAACAUCAUCGUUGCCCCCCCAUCCCCCUUGCAUCCGUCCCUGGACUAGAGUUAUACAUGCAGUCCGCUACUCUCUGUUAUCAGUAUUUGGUACUAACAUAUUCAUACUCAUAUUUAUGGCACUUCUUUAGGUGCUCUGGUACUAACCUACAUAGCAUCCAUAUUCAGUUCUUGGGGCAUCACCUGCUUGAAUCCUGCAGACACGACACUAACAAAAUGUGCAGAUUUAACGGAGAAAACACCCAUGGAGUCAAAGAACCAUGUGCAGGUAUCCUCCAUGUCACUUCUCAGCGGAACGGCCAAAAUCAUCGCGGGGUCCUAUGUUAACUGCACAUCCCAGCUUUCAGUAUAUGGGUUGAUCAGUUCAUCUACUGACGUGAGCAAUGAUUGUGCCCUCAGCGAGAUUGGUUUUCUAGACCAUUUCCGAGCAGCCAGGGGUCAUUCCAAAUUUGUAUGGUGGUACCAUCCCCUACUCUCAUUUGAUCACCCCUUCCUUCAGUAUCCCUUCAAGAUACUUUUCCAUGUGCAAGAAAUACCCCUCCUUUGGUUGAGCGUUUAAGAGAUCCCCGUCCGGGUAAUAUUUAGAAUCAUAGUUUUAAAUAGCCCGCUAUAGCCUCGCUAUAGCCUUUUCAGCAGGGUGCCGCUAAAUGAUAUCAUGUAUAAAUAUGCCGCUAUAGCCCGCUAUAGCUUCGCUAUAGCUGAUUUAGAGGCUCGCCGCUAUUCACCGUAGCCCGUUAUUUAAAACUAUGUUUAGAACUAAGAACUUGUGCACAUAGGGAAUUUGGAUCCGUGAGCGGCCUCCAGCCCUGUUUUGCUAGCAUCGCGAGGUUAAAGGAAUAAAGAUCCCUAUAUCCAAGACCCCCAUCAUCCUUUGUAAGAGUAAGCUUUUUCCCAAGGAACUUUAUUUUUCUCUUCAUGGUUUGGCCAAAAGAACCUCCCAAUCAUACAAUGGACCAGUUCUUUUGGCAACUUAAAAACUAAGCCGCCUCCUUCUCAGCUUUUCUCAUAAGCUACCUUUCUUAUUCAUUGAGGCUUCUAAACUAGUUAUGGGACAACUGAUUUAGAAGUCCUGAAAAAUUUAAGAGGUGGCUUAUUUUUUAGGAAAAGAUUCUCUUCUACCGACCAUCGCACGCCGUCGUCCGCCGGCUCCGCGGCCGUUCGAUCGUGUGAUCGUACGUCCAUCUUUUCGUUUUCCUGCAACUCACGUAUUGUUUCAGGAUAAACAUUUUUGAUACUAGAUAUAAGUAGAGGCGUUUCGGGGCUCGUCUGGCUGUGAGAGCGAGCGGCUGGAUUUGGAUUUUUUUUCUACAACAUCCUCCUUGUUGCAAGAAAAAAUUCUGCAACAUUAGUUAUGUUGCAGAACACUUUCCGUAACACCAAUGUAAAGUAGAAAAAAAAAUUGCAACAGUAGUUUUGUUGCAGAAAAAUUCCACCAACAAUAUCUGUGUUGCAAAAGUUCCGCAACACGGUCCGUGUUGCAAACAUCCGAACGCAACAUUAUGCUUGUUGCAAAAAUUAUCAGCUCAAUCUGUUGGUCAUCCCGUAUUAAAUCUUUGUAGCAGAAAAAAUUAUAUAGCCGUUUGCAACUCUAUCGGGGCCCGAAACAAAGCGAUUGUUUCCGCAACUGAUUUGUUGUUUCAGAAAUUAAUGUGUUGAGGAAGACGGCCGAGUCACGUGUCAGGAUUUAGAUCGAAUGGCUGCGGAUGGCUGCACAUGCUGAGAUCCGACGGUUAUCAGUGUGGUGGAUAUUUAUUAGACAUCCGUCGAUGUAUGCGUAGCUUUCCCCUAUUUUUUAAGCUCGAGAAAGGCAGCUUAUUUUUUAAUCCGUCCAAAAGAACUUGCCCUAUAUAUCUGCUCACAAAGUCCUUUGUCCAGAUCAAAACAUGACAUAGCAAAGGUAGGAACACCAAUCGGGUGAGAGCUUAACCACCACGAAGAUAAAAAAUAAAUAGAAACAGAGGAAGAGGCGUGUGAAGAAAACAAAGGAGACGCCCUCAAGAACGAUCUACAGAUCACACGGGCCCCUAAACUUUUAGAAGUUGUUGUAGGAACUUUUGGUUUGACAUAUGGUACAAGGCAUAGAAAGUGGUACGUAUUUUCCAUGGGAGUUUUUAUUAUAUAGAAAAUGUAAUAAUCACUUGCCAUAUACUCCAACUUGGGUUUUCUAGGAAAGAGUACAUUGACAUCUUGUGUAGAUUUAUUCGUCCAUUGAACAUUAAUUUUAUAGAUGGACUAAGAUUUUUAAACCUAUUUUGUAGUAUAACUUUUGAACUACUUAUUCAAUAAGAUUCUUUUAUAUUUGAUUUUUAAAGCAGUUAACAAUCAAUAUAAGAUAUAUUGGCCACAUAAAUUUAUAUUGUCUAUCCUAGAUUGGUUGAGUGUGGCAUUUGUGUGCUCGAGCUCCAUGAGUCUUUUUUCCUGAAAACCCCAAAAUCAUACUAUUAUUUUCAAAGUUUUGUGAACUAAUUUGCGCUCCCAAAGAGAGUGAAGCACAUCCAUCCUUGUAACGUGAGAGCACAUCCAUGCUCCGCAUGAAGCACAUUUGUGAUCCCGUGUGAAGCACACCCUUACUCCAUACAACAACACAGAAAACCUCCGAAAAACCAGGAAACAAGAAAAACCAAAGGAAACAAAUAACAAAAUGAAAACAUCCCGACAUAAGGAACGUCCUGGUUUGGCGGAGUUUUUUGUUUUUUUAGAAAAGCUCGCCGUCUUUAUUCAAUGACCAUAGGUACAAGGUUGGUGUCAUGGGGGAUACCUAGCCACACAUGUCUACCUAUUCCUACGUUACAGGCGAACUUGGCGAGAUUACGCGACUCGAAAUUAAAUACCCUAGACUCAUAGAUAAAAGAUAUAGAAGUAAAUAUAUUACAAUUGUGCUUGAUUUCAUGCAUUAUAGUAGCAUUUGGGCCUCUUGUGCCUUUAGAAAUAUCAUUUACCACCCCCUGACAAUCCUCAGCAAGAGCAAGUGCUUCACGAUAAGCAUACAUCUCCAAAAUUUGAGGAUCAUUGGUGAAAAGGAAAACAAUGGCUGACGAACCUAAGUAGUGUUCACCAUGAUCUCUACAGACUGCUGCUACAGCCCCUCCCCGAUGUGAGCGGGCAACAUCUCCAUCAACAUUUAUCUUCACCUUCCCAGCUGGAGGCGGAAGCCACCGCUGUACCUGUGGAACUGGCCACCGACUGAAGACUGCGGCAUGCACGGUUCAACUUGUCCAAGCUCCGCCAAGUAGUUGUUGAUACGUCUCCAUCGUAUCUACUUUUCCAAACUCUUUUGCCCUUGUUUUGGACUCUAAUUUGCAUGAUUUGAAUGGAACUAACCUGGACUGACGUUGUUUUCAGCAGAAUUGCCUUGGUGUUAUUUUUGUGCAGAAAUCAAAGUUCUCCAAACGUCCUGAAAAUUUACGGAGAUCAUUUUUGGAAAAUAUGAAAAAUACCUGCGCGAAGAUCCACCUGAGGGGGUGGGCCAGUGGGCCACAAGCCCUGGCUCCGCCACCCCCUGGUGGCGGUGGGAAAGCUUGUGGGGCCCACACGGCUCUGCCGCCCCCAAUUCCAGCUCUAUAAGUUCAUUUUCGUCCCAGAAAAAAAUAGAAGAUUUCGUCGCGUUUGCGAUAAGGAGGCGCCGUCACAACCUGUUCUUCAUCUGGAGGGCAGAUCUGGAGUCCGUCUUGGGCUCCGGAGAGGGGAAAUCGUCGCCAUCGUCAUCAUCAACCUUCUUCCCUCUCCAAUUCCAUGAAGCUCUUCGUCGUUCGUGAGUAAUCUAUUCGUAGGCUCGCUGGGCGGUGAUGAGUAGGAUGAGAUCUAUCAUGUAACCGAGUUAGUUUUGAUGGGGAUUGAUCCCUAGUAUCCACUAUGUUCUGAGAUUGAUGUUGCUACUACUUUGCCAUGCUUAAUGCUUGUCACUAGGGCCCGAGUGCCAUGAUUUCAGAUCUAAAAUUAUUAUGUUGUAACCAAUAUAUGUGUGUUUUAGAUCCGAUCUUGCAAGUUGUAGUUACCUACUAUGUGUUAUGAUCCGGCAACCCCGGAGUGACAAUAACCGGAACCACUCCCGGUGAUGACCAUAGUUUGAGGAGUUCAUGUGUCCACCAAGUGAUAAUGCGUCAGUCCGGUUCUUUAUUAAAAGGAGAACCUUAAUAUCUCGUAGUUUCCUUUUGGACCCCGCUGCCAUGGGAGGGAUGGACAAUAGAUGUCAUGCAAGUUCUUUUCCCUAAGCACGUAUGACGACACACGAAAUGCAUGCCUACAUCACAUUGACGAACGGGAGCUAGCCACAUAUCUCNNNNNNNNNNUCACCAAGUGCUAAUGCGUUGGUUCGGUUCUUUAUUAAAAGGAGAACCUUAAUAUCCCGUAGUUUCCUUUUGGACCCCGCUGCCACGGGAGGGAUGGACAAUAGAUGUCAUGCAAGUUUUUUCCCUAAGCACGUAUGACGACACACGGAAUGCAUGCCUACAUCACAUUGACGAACGGGAGCUAGCCACAUAUCUCUCCGUGUUAUAACUGUUGCAUGAUGAAUAUCAUCCAAACAAAUCACCGACCCAUUGCCUACGAGUUUGUCCUACUGCUGUUGUUACUUGUCUUGCUCUGCUGCUUUUACUUGUCUUGCUCUGCUGCUACUAUUGCUACUACCGUCGCUUGCUACUGUUGCUACUUGCUACUGCUGUCACUACUGCUUUUCCUUGCCGCUGCUAUUGCUCGUUACACUGCUGCUACCUGCUACAAUCUUGAUUCGCUUGUCGUUGACGGGAACUGACACUUUCCGUCAACGAGGCAACUUGGCGCCAUUGAUACAAUCGUUAGAAAUAGUCUGCCGUGUCAAGAGAUCGUNNNNNNNNNNGCCGAUCCAUUGCCUACGAGUUUGUCCUACUGCUGUUGUUACUUGUCUUUCUCUGCUGCUGUUACUUGUCUUGCUCUGCUGCUACUACUAUCGCUUGCUACUGUUGCUACUUGUUACUGCUGUCACUACUGCUUUUCCUUGCAGCUGCUAUUGCUCGUUGCACUGCUGCUACCUGCUACAAUCUUGAUCCGCUUGUCGUUGACGGGAACUGACACUUUCCGUCAACGAGGCAACUUGACGCCAUUGAUACAAUCGUUAGAAAUAGUCUGCCGUGUCAAGAGAUCGUNNNNNNNNNNGACGCAUUCAGCUGCUAAUACUUGAGAGUAUUCUCUCACCUCCUGUUUGGCGAUCAACAAAUUUGGGUCGAAUACUCUACCCUCGAAAACUGCUACGAUCCCACGCGCUGGUGGGNNNNNNNNNNUUCUGACACCGUUGUUAUCAUACUACUUUGCUGUUACUACUUUGCUUGCAGAUACUAAUCUUUCAGGUGUGGUUGAAUCUAACGCAUUCAACUGCUAAUACUUGAGAGUAUUAUUUCACCUCCUGUUUGGCGAUCAACAUAUUUGGAUCGAAUACUCUACCCUCGAAAACUGCUACGAUCCCACGCGCUGGUGGGCCGUCAACAACAUUCUUCUAGUUUCGAUUGCCGGAGAGUGCUAGCAGUAUUCUUCUGGUGCCGUUGCAAGGGAAGGUCUGCUGUUACAGAGUCAGCAUUUUUCUGGCGCCGUUGCCGGGGAGGUAUUGCUAUAUUCUCUGAGUCACUUGGGACUUAUAUCUGCCGAUCACUAUGAAGAAUCUGAAGGAUCCGAAGACCAAAGUCUUGCCCUCAACUACGAGGGGAGGUAAGGAAUUGCCAUCUAGCUCUGCACUUGAUUCAGCUUCAGUUAUGAGUAAGUUUGCGCCAUCACCUCCUGCUAGAAAUAUUGAUAUGUCACCUGUGCUUGAUGAUGCUUAUGAUGCUACUGCUAGAGAUGCUAUGCUUGAUACUAUGCCUGAUACUGCUUUGCCUGAUGAUGCUAGAGAUGCUAUUUUGCCUGAUGAUGCUAUGCUUGAUAUUGCUAGAGAUGCUAUGCUUGAUACUGCUAGAGAUGUUAUGCCUGAUGAUGCUAUGCUUGAUACUGCUAGAGAUACUACUUUGCCUGAUGUUCCACUAGGGGUAUUCCUUGAUGCUCAUAUUGCUAGAAUUACUGCCAAUGCUUGUGAUGCUUCUGAAACUGCCGAUACUAUUGAGACAGAACCUGCUUUUGCUCCUGCUAGAUCUAGCUCUCCUAGAUAUGAAUUACCUGAUAUACCUGAGGGUUACGUUAUGGAGGGAGAGAUAGCUGAGGAUUUUCUUGCGUGUAAGGAUGCCUAUGACGCUGAGAAAUUACUUGUCAAGUGGAAGGAAAAAUCUCUGGAAGCUAGGAUGAAAUACGACCCGAAGUUUGCCACUUCACCUAUCUUUAUCACUGAUAAGGAUUAUGAAUUCUCUGUCGACCAUGAGAUAAUCUCUCUAGUCGAAUCUGAUCCUUUUCACGGUUAUGAAUCUGAGACGGUCGUAGCCCAUCUUGCCAAACUACACGAUAUAGCCACCCUUUUCACUAAUGAGGAGAAGAUCCGCCACUACUAUAUCCUUAAGCUGUUUCCUUUCUCUCUAAAGGAUGACGCUAAAGCCUGGUUCACCUCUCUUGCUCCUGGAUGUGUGAGUAGUCCCCAGGAUAUGGUCUAUUAUUUCUGUGAGAAAUAUUUUGCUUCCCAUAAGAAGCAAGUUGCCUUGCAGGAAAUAUACAACUUUGCUCAACUCCAAGAAGAGUCUUCCACAAGCUUGGGGGAGGAUCUUCCAGCUAGAGAAUGCUUUGCCUGAUCACCCCCUUAAGAAGAACGAGAUACUUGAUAUCCUCUAUAACGUACUUACCGAUGCCUCUAGAGACCACCUAGAUAGUUGUGCCGGUUGUGUUUUUAGGGAACGAACUGUAGAACAAGCUGAGACUCUACUGAGUAACAUCUUGAUCAACGAUAAUGCUUGGACUAUUCCCGAACCACCUCCUAAGCCAACCCCGAAGAAAAGAGGUAUUAUAUUCCCCAGUCCCGAAGAUAUGCAAGAAGCCAAGAAAUCUAUGCAAGAGAAAGGCAUUAGAUCUGAAGAUGUCAAAAAUCUACCACCUAUCGAAGAGAUCCAUGGUCUCGAUAACCCGAUGGAGGUAGUAGAAGUGAAUUCUCUGCGUAGGUUUGAUGAGAGUGAUAUUCCUUUUGACAAACCUGCUAGCCUAUGCUUUGAUGAAUUUGACAACUUUGUUGCCAAACAACAGAGUCUCAAUGAUUAUGUUAGCAGACAUUUGGAACAAAGUACUCGUAUGCUUAGCCAUUUAAGUGCUUGUGUAGACAGAAAUGUCAAUGAUCUGAAGCUUCUGAGUAAACAUGCCUCUAUGAUUACUACUCAGGUAGAACAAGUACUUAAAGCUCAAAAUCACUUGCUCAAUGAAUUAAAUGACAACUCUGUCAGAGUCAUUACUAGAGGAGGCAAAAUGACUGAGGAACCUUUGUAUCCUGAAGGUCAUCCUAAGAGAAUUGAUCAAGAUUCUCAAGGAAUCAAUGCUGAUACACCCAGUCAUCCUAAGGAGAAGAAGAAGGAUGAUAGAAACCUACAUGCCAGUUCACCAAAUACUGUCACACCUGAAGAACCUAAUGAUAUUUCUGCGUCUGAUGCAGAAACACAAUCUGGUGAUGAACAUGAACCUAGUGACAAUAUGGACAGUGAUGUUCAUAAUAAUGCUCAACCUAGCAAUGAUGAGGAUGUGGAGAUUGAACCUACAGUUAAUCCUGCUAACCCACAACCUAAGAAAUACGAGAAGAAUGACUUCACUGCUAGGAAGCAUUGUAAAGAAAGGGAGCCAUGGGUUCAGAGAUCCAUGCCCUUUCCUCCUAAGCCAUCCAAGAAAAAGGAUGAUGAGGAUUUUGAGCGCUUUAUUGAAAUGAUAAGACCCAUCUUUCUGCAGAUGCGGUUAACUGAUAUGCUCAAGAUGUCUCCGUAUGCCAAGUACAUGAAAGAUAUCGUGACUAAUAAACGGAAGAUACCGGAUCUUGAGAUCUCCACCAUGCUUGCCAACUACACUUUCAAAGGUGGAACUCCUAAGAAACUUGGUGAUCCCGGAGUGCCCACUAUACCUUGCUCCAUUAAAGGAAACUACGUAAGAACUGCCUUAUGUGACCUUGGAGCCGGUGUUAGUGUUAUGCCGCUCUCUCUUUAUCAUAGAGUUGAAUUGGAUAAGUUGACACCCACUGAAAUUUCUCUGCAAAUGGCCGACAAAUCAACUGCUUUCGUUAUCGGCAUUUGAGAGGAUGUGCCUGUUGUGGUUGCUAACACCACUAUCUUAACAGACUUUGUUAUCUUGGAUAUGCCCUAGGACGAUGCCAUGGCUGUCAUCCUCAGAAGACCCUUUUUAAACACGGCAGGGGCUGUUAUAGAUUGCAACAAAGGCAAUGUCACUUUCCAUGUCAACGGUAAUGAGCACACCGUGCACUUUCCGAAGAAACGAUAUCAAGUAAAUUGCAUCAAUGCUAUCGAAAAGACUUCAUCGAUUCUCAUUGGGAGCUUUGAAUGCCCUAUUCCUCGUGUCAAGAUGAAGUAUGAUUUGCUUGUUGGGGAGAUACAUAUCCCCAUUGAGGUGACUUGGUGGCUACUCGAAAAUUCUCCAUUCUCUCUUGCAAUUCGAGAAGGUUUUGUCAUGAGGACUUGAUCAACCCCAUUGACGGAUUUCUUUCGAUGACCUUGAAAUGGAUGAAUCAAAGAGUCACAUACCUCUGUUUUAAGCUUUCAUUUUCUGUUGCUUAGAAGAAAAAUGAUAGAAUUAGUAUAGUUUUCCCUAUUUUCUGUUUUAGCGUCCCGGAGAAAAAUACCUCGAAAAUAAAAGUUCUCCGAUGGUCCUGAAAAUUUAGUAUGAUUUUUUUUGAAAUUUUUGAAAAUUACUGGGCCUGAGAGCUGGCCUGGGGGCCAGACCAGUGGGCCACAAGCCCUGCCACCGCCACCCCCUGGUGGCGGAGUGCAAGCUUGUGGGGCCCACAGGGACCCCCUACACUCAUUCCAGCUCCCAACCUCUUCUUCCACCUCCAGAAAAAAUUGUUUCGCAGCUCAAACCCGUGUUCUUGCUCAUUUGGCUGUGAUUUUCGAUCUCCUUGCUCAAAGCAGCAUUCUCCGAACCGUUUUGGAGAAAUUACUCCUUGGUAAGUGACUCCUCCAUUGGUCCAAUUAGUUUUUGCUCUAGUGCUUUAUCCUUCGCGUAUUCUUGCUACCUUGGUGACCCUAUUCUUGAGCUAGAAAGGUUGAUUUUACCUGGUCCCAAGUAGUUUUAGCGCGUGAUACAGUCUCUAGGCACUAGUAGGAGUAGUUGCUACAAGGUAUGGUUGGUCUUCAUUCACUUUUCUCUUGAACUUCAAAAAUUUCAGCGAAAGGAAAUUAUGUUCAAGAGGAAGUUUCAUGGUGGUUCCUCAAGUAAGAAGGGUCCCCGUCUUUCUUUUCGGGAGCCCAAACCUUUUCAACUAAGGGACGCACCGGUACAACCAUGUGAAUGGCCUUCCGACGAGUUCAUGAUCGAAGCAGGUUUCAAGGAUGAGUUUGAUACACUUGUCCGCAAUGCCGGGUUAGAAGAAUUCCUCUCAGAUAAAUGUGAACAGUAUGCUAUGCUCACCGCCUCUUUCGUGCGUAGAUUUAAAUUUUCAGUUGGCCGUGACUCAUCCAUACUGUUUGAUCUAUACGAUAAAUCCUAUACCAUGGAUUUGGAGGAUUUCAAUAGGAUUUGCAAGAUACCCGAUGGGGGUAGUAUUAGUGAUCCUUCUAAGUCUUCGGUCAGAGACUUUGUCUCCAGUAUAACUGUUGAAGAAACCAGAGAUAUCACGCAAGCCACCAUAGGAAGCAUCCAUUUCCCUGCCUUGCACUACCUUGCCAUCUUCAUAGGUAGGUGCAUUAACGGCAAGGGUGCACAUUGUCACCUAUGCGCUUCCGACCUUAGUAUCCUUAAGAGCGCAGUAACAGGUGACAAGAGCUUCAAUAUGGGAGCUAUAAUAGCAAGGAGGCUGAAUAAAAAUGCCAGUGAGGGGGAUUUCUUUGGUGGAGUUUAUGCUACACGCUUAGCAAAUUUUCUUGGAGUUUCCAUCCGUCCAGAAGACCCUCCUCUCCGUACAGCCUACCUUGAUUGUGUCGCUCUAACAUGCUACCAGUUCCUUGAGAGAGAUCAUGGAUCCCUCCUAUACCGCUUGAUAUUUAACCGACAGCGUGUUUUCCAUAUUAACCUUCCUGCUCUUGCUUUCUUUGACUUUCAGGUAAAACAAAGAUACUACAUAACCGUAGGAGAGGCAGAGGAGUAUGAGAGGGAGGUGACGGCUGCUCGACUUCGUGAGGCAGCUAUUCAGGUAGUGGCUGCAACACUCCCGUAUAACACCCAUUAUGAUUUUGGGUUUCGCGAGGACCAUCCUUGGGAGUAGACCAAGCUAGGCCAAAAGCCUAAGCUUGGGGGAGUACGUGUUCUCACCGACUUUACAUUCAUGCUUAUGCUUUCACUUUGUUAGCCGGUGUUUACACUUUGCCACUGUAUUAUCCAUGCUAGUUUAUUUUUGUUUUCUUGUUUUAUUAUUUUGUGUACUUUUGAGAAAACCCAAAAAGAUUUUUCUUUCUUCUUUUGCUUGUUAGGACUAAGCUUGGAAAUAGUUUUCUUUUUUUCUUUGGGUCAAGGUAGAAGAUAUUGGUUUCAAUGCUUAGUGGCUUUUGCUUGCUUACCUGUUUAGCUUUCAAAGAGCCAUAUUACUUUGUCUUCUCCUUUGUGUUUGCCUGCAGAUUCAGCUUAGUCCAAUGCGCUUAUUAUCGUUCUCAUCGUUCGAUCGUGCAAAUGAAAGGCAACAAUGAUGAUAUACGAUGAAGUGACUGAGAUUGGAAAAGCUGGUAUGAACUGUUGGAAAUAUGCCCUAGAGGCAAUAAUAAUAUGGUUAUUAUCAUAUUUCCCUGUUCAUGAUAAUCGUCUAUUGUUCAUGCUAUAAUUGUAUUAACAGGAAACAGUAAUACAUGUAUGGAUAAAUAGAUCACAAUGUGUCCCUAGCAAGCCUCUAGUUGGCUAGCUCGUUAGUCAAUAGAUGAUCAUGGUUUCCUGAUCAUGGGCAUUAGAUAUCAUUGAUAACGGGAUCACAUCAUUGGGAGAAUGAUGUGAUGGACAAGACCCAAUCCUAAGCCUAGCACUAGAUCGUAUUGUUCGUAUGCUAAAGCUUUUCUAAUGUCAAGUAUCUUUUCCUUCGACCGUGAGAUUGUGCAACGCCCGGAUACCGUAGGAGUGCUUUGGGUGUAUCAAACGUCACAACGUAACUGGGUGACUAUAAAGGUGCACUACGGGUACCUCCGAAAGUGUCUGUUGGGUUGGUACGAAUCGAGAUCGGGAUUUGUCACUCCGUGUGACGGAGAGGUAUCUCUGGGCCCACUCGGUAGAACAUCAUCAUGAGCUCAAUGUGUCUAAGGAGUUAGUCACACGAUGACGUGCUACGGAACGAGUAUAGAGACUUACCGGCAACGAGAUUGAACAAGGUAUAGGUAUACCGACGAUCGAAUCUCGGGCAAGUUCUAUACCGACAGACAAAGGGAAUCGUAUACGGGAUUGAUUGAAUCCUUGACAUCGUGGUUCAUCCGAUGAGAUCAUCGUGGAGCAAGUGGGAUCCACAAUGGGUAUCCAGACCCCACUGCUGGUUAUUGGCCAGAGAGGUGUCUCGGUCAUGUCUGCCUGUCUCCCGAACCCGUAGGGUCUACACACUUAAGGUUCGAUGACGCUAGGGUUAUAGGGAAUUGUUAUACGAGGUUAUCGAAAGUUGUUCGAAGUCCCGGAUGAUAACCCGGACGUCACGAGGAGCUCCGGAAUGGUCCGGAGGUAAAGAUUGAUAUAUAGGACGGAUGGUUUCGGAUACCGGAAGUGUUUCGGGCAUCACCGGUAACGUACCGGGACCACCGAAGGGGGGCAACGACCCCGGGAGGUAAGGUGGGCCAAGUGGGGGUGGGAACCAGCCCCUAGGUGGGCUGGUGCGCCUCCCCACUCAGCCCAUUGCGCAAGGGAGAGAAAAGGGGGGGCAAACCCUAAGCCAGGUGGGCCUAAGGCCCACCAGUUGGUGCGCCACCCCCUCCUCCCCCCUCUGCCCGCCGCACCUCCCAUCUGGGGCGGCUGCCGCACCCCCUAGGGUGGGAACCCUAGGGGUGGCACCCCCUCUCCCCUUCCCCUAUAUAUAGUGGGCACUUUUGGCCAUUGGAGAUUAGACUUUUCCCUCUCCCUCGGCGCAGCCCUGCUCCUCUUCCUCCUCCUCUCUACCGGUGCUUGGCGAAGCCUUGCCGGGAGACCUUGUAUCUCCAUCGACACCACGCCGUCGUGCUGCUGGAGUUCUUCCCCAACCUAUCCCUCCUCCUUGCUCGAUCAAGGUACGGGAGACGUCACCGGGCUGCACGAGUGUUGAACGCGGAGGUGCCGUAGUUCGGCACUAGAUCGGAAUCGCUGCGAGUACGACUCCAUCAACCGCGUUCUAGCAACGCUUCCGCUUAGCGAUCUUCAAAGGUAUGAAGAUGCUCUUACCCCUCUCUCGUUGCUAGUCUCUUCAUAGGAAGAUCUGAAUAUGCGUAUGAAAAUUUUGAAUUUAUGCUACGUUUCCCAACAUGAACUCUAUCUAUUUUGUUUUUGUAAAUAUGACUAGCUUGUCAACCCAGAUUCUGCUUUGUUGUGAGAGAACCAUGUUUGCAAUGACAACUUAGAGAUCAUAGUUUCUGAUGCCAUGCUUAGUUAGCUGAGAGUUUAUAAUGGUUUGUCUUGAAUGCCAACAUAGAUUUUGAGAUGACUAUGAUGUAGUAUGAUAGGAUGGUAUUCUCCUUUGAAUGUUUCAAGUGGCUUGACUUGGCGCAUGUUCAUGCAUGUAGUUGAAACAAAAUCAACAUAGCCUCUAUGAUGUUCGUGUUCAUGCUGAUUUAUAUCAUGUUCAUGCUUGCAUUUAAUGUUAGUCAAACUCAUUGCAUCUUGAUGACUGUUGACGCUCUCUAGUUGGUCGCUUCCCAGUCCUUUGCUAGCCUUCACUUGUACUAAGCGGAAUACUGCUUGUGCAUCCACUUCCAUAAACCCAAAAGUUUUUCCACGAGAGUCCACCAUACCUACCUAUUUGCGGUAUCUACCUGCCGUUCCAAGUAAAUUUGCAUGUGCCAUUCUCUAAACCUUCAAGAAAUAAUCUGUUUUGCAUGCCCGGACCGCUCAUGUGGUGACAGGGGGCUAUUGGUAUCUUCCAUGCUAGGAGUGUUAUCCUCGACAUGUGUUUAUUCACUGUCAUUCACGAGAAAGGGGCCGGUAAUUGGAAUGCCCAGUUCCACGCUUAAAUCGAAAACAUAACUGUAAAACAAGACUCCCCCUGGAUUGAUGUUAGUAUGGACGGUACCCGAGGAUUCGGCUACCCGUGGAGUGUGAUUGAUUGGUGGUGGGGGAGUUAAAACUUUACUUUUCUGUUUGGGAACCGCCUAUAGCAUGAGUAGCAUGGAAGAUAUUGAGAACUCUUGGUCAUUGCGUUGACAAUGAAAGCAUGCCACACAAAAUUAUUAUUUCUGUUUUCAUAGCUUGAGCUCUGGCACCUCUACAAAUCAAUGCCUCCCUAUGCGAAGGGCCUGUCUAUUUAUUUUCAUGUUGAGUCAUCCUCUUCUUAUAAAAUCACCAAUUAGAGAGCACCUGUGUCAUUUUUAUGCUUUGCUUUUGAUUGAUAUUGAGUAUGACUAUGACUGGAUCUUCGUUGCUAUGAAUUACAAUGUUUAGUCAGCCCUUGAUCUUUGAAAGUGCUCCGCAUUUAUGUUUUGCGGUCUCAGAAAGAGCUAGCGAGAUACCACCUAUUCAUAUUGCUUCAUACUUGUUUUGAUUGAAGUGUUGGUAUUUGAAACUCAUUAUUAUUUGCUCGUUAGCUGAUUAUGCCAUUGAUAUUAGUUUACCGUGAGACCUUUGUGUCACUUGCUUAUGUGAUUAACUUGUGAUCUUGCUGAAAUUCUGGUUAUGAGUUAGACAUAGUUGCAACAACAAGAUCAAACAGAGUUUGUUAAAGUUUUUCUUUCUCUCUCAGUUUGUCAACUGAGUUGCUUGAGGACAAGCAAGGUUUUAAGCUUGGGGAGUUGAUAUGUCUCCAUCGUAUCUACUUUUCCAAACUCUUUUGCCCUUGUUCUGGACUCUAAUUUGCAUGAUUUGAAUGGAACUAACCUGGACUGACGUUNNNNNNNNNNNNNNNNNNNNNNNNNNNNNNNNNNNNNNNNNNNNNNNNNNNNNNNNNNNNNNNNNNNNNNNNNNNNNNNNNNNNNNNNNNNNNNNNNNNNUCGAAUACUCUACCCUCGAAAACUGCUACGAUCCCACGCGCUGGUGGGCCGUCAACAACAUUCUUCUAGUUUGGAUUGCCGGAGAUUGCUAGCAGCAUUCUUCUAGUACCGUUGCAAGGGAAGGUCUGCUGUUACAGAGUCAGUUGUCAACAGAGCUGGUCGUCUGCUGGGGACUUUGAAAGAUAGAUUCAUAGACAUCCUUCCUCCUGGCAUACCAUAUCGCCCACAAUGUCACAGCCAAUCUAGAGAACCGGCCUUGAGACAAACGGUCGCUAAGCUGGAACAACCACAACCGAGCAUUGGGCAGCCAGGGCCAGAAGUAACUUUUUUUGGUGUUGGAGGCCCAGGCAUAAAGGCCCAAUCAACGUCUCAAUCUAGCACGCACGACCAUGCACGCACGGUCGAUCGGGAGCUCCUAUGCAGCGCUGCAGGCGCCAGUUAACGAUCCGGCGCCUGCAGCGCUGCUAGCAUGGACCAGCCCAUUAGAGUGUUGUCCAGUUUUAUUUUUUAUUUUUUUAUUACGAAGAUAAAAGUAUGAAAUCGAAAAACGUUUACAGAUUUAAAGAAAAAAAUGUUCAUAUCUUUAAAAAGGGUUUAUCGAUUUUGAAAAAAUUUCAUCAAUUUGAAAAAAAGUCAUUGAAAAUGAAAAAAAAAGUUCAUCCAAUUUAGUAAAAGGUCAUUAAAAUUUUAAAAUGUUCAAUAAAUUUAUAAAAGAAAAUCCAAACAAUUGCACUUAUUUUUUUUCUAAAUUCAUUGAACUGAAAAAAAGGUUCAUAAUUCUUAAACAUUUUAAUCAAUUUUUUAAAAGAUGUUCGUCAAGAUUCAAAAGCUCAUUGCUAUUCAAAAAGCUCAUAAAUCUUAUAAAAUAUUCGCUGAAAUUUACAAAAUUAUCAUCAAUACUAAAAUAAGUUCAUGCAAUUUUCAAAACAAAAAAAAUUCAAAAUGCGCCUAGAUGGGCCAGCCCAUUCAGGAACGCCACAGGCGCCAGUUAACAAAAAUGCACGUUAACUGGCGCAAGGUGCCAAAUAGGAAAUGCUCGGCCGACCACUGCCGAGAAGCACGCCGCGCCGCGUCUCUGCCUCCUCCCCUGACUGGCGCCGGCCCUGCUCCGGCCCGGCCUCUGCCCAUCUCCGACCCGGACCGCCGCCGAUCUUCCUCCUCUACGCGCAGGCCGCCUCUGCUCCCCACACGCGCGCGCAGCCGCAGGGGGUCGCCUCGAUCCUGCCCCGGACGCGUAGGCAGGCGCGCGUUCGCCGCGCAUCCUCGACCUCCGUUCUCGACGCCAAGGUCGCCGACCGGCUUCUUCCUCUCCCCGUGAGCGGCGCCUGUAUGCAAUCUUUGCCCAUCACCGUUUCCCCCCUCUUUUUCUUAUGUCUCACUCUGUUAUGUGCACGUCAGUUGUUCGGCCGAAUGCCUAUGAGCAAUGCCGUUGCUGCAUGCAUAUAUCUCUAACUGGCCCUACUAGGUAGGGGACAACCACCUUCUGUGUUGCGUGCAUGACAGGGCGAUCCGCUGCCUUAGUUCCGAAGCUGCUUGAUUACAUCUUUGGUUUAUUACUGACCACCACCACGUACUAUAUGAUUAUAGUAUCUUGCGGAAAAUAAAUGGUAGACAUCGUGCGCCUGGUAUGACAUUGCUGCGCUGCUAACGUUGUUAUGUUCUCUACUUUGUGUUUCUCAUCUUAUUUGCAUCUUCUGGGUUGAUUUGUUAUGUUAGGCCAUUUAGGGCUUCUUAGAUGUGAGGACAUACAUGCUAGUGCAAUAUGCAAUGCCUCAUGCUGAAAUAAAUAGGUGCCCAGAUUUGUGUAACUAUUUGACCCUCUGCGUAACCAGAAAAAUUUCAACAUGGGGAAGAAGCCGGGCAGCGCCGGCCCAUCAUCGGCAUCCAGGCCCAUGAAUCAGGCCGUGUCGCUCCGUGAGGAGACCUCCGGGAAGACGCAUGCUGACGCACCCUCCCUGCUGAGAGUCCAGCACCUGCAGCGGCUGGGGGCGUGGGCGAGCGGGGAGGCGGGAGUUGGCUCGAUCGGGGCGCUGCUGGGCCGCCGAUUCGCCAUGAACACCGAGGCGGCCGGUGUACCCAUAGGUGCCUCCACCUUCCUUUGCCAGAGGUGAGAAUUACAGCUUACUGUGUGGUCUUAAAAUGCUCCAUUCAUUUGUCUAGUUAUUUCACCGUAUCAAUCUGACUAUUAUAUUUGCACUUUAAUUUCAAUUAUAAUUUAUUUGUGUUCAACUUUCUGCCAUUACAUUGUUUUUGGAUGAAAGCUUGUUCUAGCAAAGUAGCAUGUCUGCGUAUUGUAAUGUUGAAAGUUGAGACUUCUCGAAACAAAAACAUUAUAAGUAUUGUCCCACCAUCCUGAGAUCCUAAGAAGAAGCCAUCUAAGUCCAAGGACCCCAGUAUCAGUAUAUACACAUACACAUACAGUUGACAUGUUCGGUCUACACACUAAGUAUUGUGUUAACUAUGCUGUACAAUUAGCUUGUUGAAUCCAUGUUUGCUUGGAUUUCAAUUACCUUAUCAAAGUUUCUCAAUGUAAUAUAUCAGUUCAAGCACUUGUUGGAUUUGUGCUAAACUCCUGAUACUCACAAAUCAACAAUUUUUGUCUACUUACAUUGAUUAAGGGGUACCACUUUAUUCCAGUGAUUUUUGUCUUGUUUGCAGUACCCACUGUUGCUGAGAUACUAUCUCCUACUCCUAUAGCCUUGAAAAACAUGUUUUAUUCAUUAAAAGCAAUCUGUGACAUGCAGAUAAUCUUUAGAUGGGUGGUUGUAAGGCAAAAAAAUAAAUUUAAAAUGAUCGAACAUACAAAUUUAAGUGAAGCAUCUUGUGUUCAGGUGUUAUGACCGGUACAACGUACCAACGGAGGAGGCCCAAUGGGCAGGGUUAAUUACGGGCUUAGCCCAAGUUAUCUCACCUAUCUUAGAAGUCCAAGUUAUAUUAGAGUCCAAGUUAGAGUCCAAGCUAUCUAGGGUUUAGUGGAGGCUGUCCUCCUUUAUAAACACAUGUACCCCUUCGAUAUUAAUCAGACAAUAAACAGUAUAUUCUGCUGUCGUCUCCCUCAGUAGACGAGAGCCCCAAACCCUAGCCGCCUCCCUCUCUCUCUCUCACGCCGCGACGGCGCCCAACCGCCGGCGCCGGCGUCCCCAACCUCGCAGCCCGCACUUCCACCGCUACAACCUACGUCCGAGACCUGGUAGAACCCUAGCCUCUACCAUCAGGACAAUGAACUACACAUAACUUAGAGAAAAGAUGCGAAACUUUUUGGUCGUCCAUUUUUACAGGGCGAACAUUUUGCAUGUUGCAUUGGUUUUCACCGGAAUGCACCUUAGCUGAUUGUUCUGGUUCUUUGUAUUGCCAGAAUCUGAGCUUACUAGCAUAGAAGAACUGGAAAUAAAGAAAACUGCACUGAUAAUGUUGUAUGGGUUUUCAGGUUUGGAGCAAAUUACCACGAAGUUUUUCUUUCUUGCUUAACUUUUGAUCUCAAAUCUGUCAUAGUGCCAUGUGUGUAUGUAUGCAUAUAUCAGUUUAUUUUUAAUACGCCUUAGUCUGUACUUUGUAGUAAUACUGAUAAAAACAUUCUUUUGUGUGUGAAGAAUUUUUGGAAUUAUGUGUUUAGCUCAUAACAGCACAUUCAGAGUCCUUUCAUUUUGCUAGUUUGCAAAAAAGGUCCUUCAGAAUAUAUCAACUCAUAACACUAACCACUAACUCUGUAAGAAACAUCUCCAAUCUGCAGUAUGUUUAUCAGACCUCUGAAGAAAGGUCAUUCGAAUAUUGCAGGUGUGAAUCAAUCUUACAGCCAGGCUUCAACUGCACAAUCCGCAUAAAGAACAACAAAAAGAAAGCAAAACGGCGCAAGAAGUCAAAUCUUGGCCAAAACAAUGUUGUUUAUGCAUGCCAUUUCUGUGGAGACGAAAACCUGAUACGGGGUAGUGGAAAGGGUAUCGUGAAGAGCCUAUUGUCAUCAAGAAAGCCCGUUAGCACCAGCAUAAUGUUGAAAGGAGUCAAUAUGCCAACUGUGACUACUAAAAAGGGGAUUGAGCAUUCUGUAACAGCAGCCUCGCAACUGGAAUCAUCCCACAGAAUGAUGGAUUUUGAUCUGUUAGGAGAUGCACAUGUAGACAUCCCACAGAAAAUUGGAGUGGAAAGCACAGAUGAUAAAUGUAUGAAUAUAAUUGAGCCAGCGGCUUCGAAGAAUAUUCCAACAUGUGAACCAGAUGUCACUUCUCGAGCAGAAUUUCUAGUUGGGUCAAACUUUGUUACUCCUCGGAAGAGCAAACUGGCGGAAGCGACUGCGCCUAUAACUUCAGCAGAAGCAUUGAAGACUAGAAGUACACUGAAGAGCAAAGGGCAGAAUUGUGGUUCCGUUGCUGGCAAGAUCCCUGGAAGUUACAGCAACUCAGCUUCGAAUACCAAAUCUGCGCCAGAUGAUUCUACUCAGGCAGCUGGUAGUUCAAGGAAGCGAGCAAGAAAAGGAUGGACUACACUGAAGCAGAUUGCUGAGAAUGAUGAGCUUGAGAGAAAAGAGAAGAUGGAUAACUUUGUAAUCCCGUUCUUCAUGCAGUAAAACAAUGGCUGGAAGAACAGUUAUACUCUCUCCGUCCGAAAAUACUUGUCACAUGGAUGGAUGCAUCUAGAUGUACUCCCUCUGUCUCAGUUUACAAGUCUGACACAUGUAUCUAGGUCCUCAAUUUGACUAACUUAAUGAGAGGCGUAUAUUACAAAAAAUAUAUCAUUAGAAACUUUAGAUGUUCUAUUUUCUAAUGAUAUAAUUUUUAUAUUAAAAAAUAUAUUUUAUAUAAGUCAAAUUGAUGACCUAGGUACACGUGUAUUCCUUCUAAACUGUGAUGGAGGAAGUAUUUUAGUUCUAGAUACACAUUUUUAUACAUUUGUGCGACAAAUAAUUCCGGACGGAGGGAAUAGUUUUUAGUGGUAUUUUUUAGUUAUGUAUUUCUGCACCAGUUAUGUCCUAAGCAGUAUGAGAGAAAUUCAAAAUGAAACCUAGCUAAGGCAGAUAUGCUAGCUGUCAAGGGAGAAUGAAAGCAAAGGAUUGGAUGUCAAUCAAUGUGGGUGCGCUUGGCUGGAGCUGCCAUGUUGUGAAAGGUAAAGUCAAAUACUAUGUUUAGUACUUGGCUGAAGGAUUAAUAAUCCAAAGAUCCAUUCAUGCAGUUAUUUUCUGCAUUUUAAUCAGAUCCAGGAUGCUAAUUGUGCUUCAGAUGAUAUACAAUCUAUGCCAUUUAGGGGCGGCUCGGCCAGAAGCUAUGAAAAGCUAUAGCGAAGUUAAGCCCCAUUUAACAUUUUUUAUAAAUCAUGAAAAUUUGAAAAAAUAAAUAUACAAUUAGGUAUCAUAUAUGAUAUAUUGCAUAUACAUGAUACAUACACAUGUUUGCACAUCGAAAUAUGAGCACCACUCAGGUGUCCUAAUUUAAUAACCAAGCUUUGUGUCAAUGCAUCAUAUAUAUCAGAAACAAGAACAAAAGGUAAUGCAAAAUGAUGGUUUAUAUAGCGGCUUAGCGGGCUAAAUGACUUUAAAUUUAGAGUUAUAGUGGGAAAUAGUGGGCUAUUAGCGACAUAUUCAACUUAGGGUUAAAAGUGCAUAGCUUUAGCGGGAGAGCUCUCAAAAGCUAUCGUCGACUAUCUAAAACUUUGAUACACUGGCUAACAUUUCCUUUCGCUCUGUUAUACAUUAAGUUCAUUGGCUAGCAAUUCAUUAUAAGGAUGGCAACAGGUAAGGUAUGGGAAGCGAAGAGCAAUACCACACGCAUAUCCGUGUAGUCAACGGGUAUGAAACUUUAUCCGUACCCGUGCCUGACGGGUACCCAUACCCAUUGGAUACCUAAUGGGUAAAUGAAACAGUACACAAGUUAUUUAUAAUUUUACAUUCUUCAUAACACAUUUGACAAAAUACCAUUGAUCUUAACUUAAUAACAGAUACUUCCUCUAUUCCAAAAUAAGUGUCUCAAGCUUAGUACUCCCUCCGUUCCUAAAUAUAGAUCUUUUAAGAUAUUUCACUAGAAGUCUACAUACGAAGUAAAAUGAGUGAAUCUACACUCUAAAGUAUGUCUAUAUACAUCCGUAUGUAGUCAAAUAAUGAAACCUCUUUAAAGAAUUAUAUUUAGAAACGGAGGGAGUAUAACUUUAUACUAAAUCUAGUAUAAAGUUAAGACACUUAUUUUGGGACAGAGGGAGUAAAUGAGUACAUGAUAACCAUCUCAAUUCAAAUUGACUAUUGGUGAUAACUUUAACAUAGAUUCACAAUAUCACGACACAACUUUAGCAUAGAUACACUUAUGAAUCACGGUUAGGUUCAUAUAUCAGUAUAAACGGGUAGGGUAUGGGUAUAUCCAUGGGUAAAAGGCUAUACCCAUGAUUUAACGGGUAGGGUAUGGAUACUACAUAUGGAUAUAAAAUUGUACCCAUACUCUGUCCAUACGGGUACGGUAUACGCGGGUACCCAUACCCAUGGGUAAAAUUGCCAUCAUUAGUUCAUGACCUGUGAAGUGGGGAUGUUCUUCAGUAUGAGUCACGUUAGAAAGUAAACUGAAACUGCAUCUGUGCUGAUGCACCAGUGUAGCAAUAACAUCUUUGAAGUAUUUGAUGACACUAUAAGCUGAUUAUGAUAAGACAAGGGCAUCUGCACAACUACGUCAUUUCCCCCUUCUUUAUCUACCACACAUCACAGUUUCUUCGGAGUUUGUUCUCUGCAUACAUUUCCGUUGCUGAUGAAGCAUUCCAUUGUUUCUGUCAGAUACCAUCGCAACGAUCACUCUACGGACUGUUUUACAUAAAUGCAGUCCACCAGUCUCUGGAUUUGGUAACACCGUCAGACUGGUAUGUAUGGCGCUUCUUUAGCUGCUCUGGCACUAACCUAUAUACCAUUCAUGUUGAGUUCUUGGGGGAUCUCCUGCUCGAAUCCUGUACCUGUAGUACACUACAGGAAAAAACAAUGUAAGCCGUGUAUGUUUCAUUCACGGUAAAAGCCAUUUCAAACUCGGCGAAGAGAGUAUGCCGAGUGUUACACUCGCGUAUAGCACACCUCUUACAUCCGGUCGGUUUAGGACUGAUAAGCCGAGUGUCACUUAUCGGGGCUUCGGCUUACAUGUAAAACGAGUAUUAUGCACGGGCACACGGCAAACAAAGCGAGAUCACGGUCGGCUGCACUAACACGGCAACGCCGAGUGCUCGCGGCCGAUCUCGGCUUACACGUAAGCCGAGUGCGUUCCCACGGCUUUCAGUAGCUAGAGUGAAGUCUGAAAUCAACCUUGUGGUUGUAGACGCCGACGAAAAUGAACCUUCACCUUCAAAUCCUUGAACUUUGUACCCUAAACUGUCUUAUCCCGGAUUUUUUUUAUCUUAAGCUCAUUUUAGGCCAGGAUCUGCUGACGUGGCUCCGUGUAGGCUGGGAUUGUGGUUUCUUUUUAACAGGGGACGCUGGUGGGGAAUUAUUUUAGGGUUCGACGACGGGAGAGAGCGACGGCGGAAGGCGACAGAGAGAGAGCGAGGGCGAGUUCGAUCCAGACCAAGGCGACGGAGAGAGAGCGACGGCGGAGGCGAUGUCGUCCUUCUCGAUUGGAUCCUCCUGUUCACGCGGCGAGGGGAUUCGACGGAGAGGCGCUGCAGCUAGGUCGCCGGUGCCGUAUCGUGAGCAGCCGAUGGAUUAUGAGUCUGCUGUUUUCUGCAGUCAUUGCGGGAGGAAGGCGCCUAGGUGGAUUUCAUGGAGUGUGGCGAAUCCUGGAAGGAGAUAUUAUGCUUGCGUCGAAUCUAAGGUUCUUCUCUAUUCUGUUCUUCUCUGUUCUGUUCUGUUCCUCUGCUCUGUUGUUCUCUGUUCGAUUUUAUCUGUCUAAAACUUCAGUUUAUUGAGCAGCAUGGUUUCCUACAAUGGCACGACGGCCCAACAUCUCCAUUCCUACGUGUAUUGUUGGGAGACCUUCGAGAUAGGGUAUGGAGUCUUGAGGAUGAUGUAGCAGCAUUGUGUGGAGAUGGAGAUGCAAGUGCUGGUGCUGGUGCAGUGCAGGAGGCAGUGCAAGAGAGAACUGCAGGUGUUGGUGCUGAUGGUGUUUCAGUUAGGAUGAUGGUUUGUGGAAUUGUGCUAUUUGUAUCAGGUUUAGUUGUAGGGAUGAUCAUAUCCUAGUUCCUUUGCUAGUAAUGGAUGUGAGGCAGUGUACUGUAUUUUGUGAAGUUUGUACCAUGAUGUGAGGCAAUGUACAAUGUACUGAAUUUUUAACAGUAUGUGCUGGAUUCUGUUAUGAAAUUUUGGUCAGUUUUGAAGUGCCAAAACAGCAACAUUUAACACAGAAAAUCUUCACAGCAAAAGAGCAACAUGUUUGGCAGCACCAAAAUAACAUAGCUGAUUCAGUAGUUCACUAAUUCUCACAGGACUUAGCAUAGCAGAUUCACAUCCAAAAUAAGUUUACUAGUUCACAUGAUCUAAAUAAUUACAGCACAUGUUCUCAUAAGCUGUGAAUUAGUUCCCAGAAGCUCUGAAUAGGCAUGACAUCAAUAGUUCCCAGAAGCUGUGAAAUAGGGCAUGAACCCACUUUCUCUUCUUCCUCUUGUGCCAGCAGAUGCAGUCCCUCUUCCUCUUCCUCCUCCUGUGCCAGCAGAUGAACCUCCCCUUCCUCUUCCUCCUCCUGUGCCAGCAGAUGAACUUCCCCUUCCUCUUCCUCCUCCCGUGCCAGCAGAUGUACUUCCUCCAUGUGCUUCAGAUGAUCUAGCUAUAGGUGUACUUCUUUUGGCAGCCUCAGUCUGUGCUUGCUGCAAAUAAAAAAAGAAAUAAGCACUACUGCAAAUAAUAGAGGAAUAUAUUGUUAGUGAGUAGUUGCAAAUUACCUCUGUGUCCCUUUGUUGUCUCCCUCUCUUCCCAAGAAAUGCUUUUGUUUUUUUGUUAUUAUCACCAUUCUUUCCACAAGAUCCUCU
rnacentral:lncRNA from 1 species